AAGACACUCAUUGUCAUCGUCGUGGUCGCCGCCUGUGUCGGAGCCAUCUCUGCACAGGUGGAAUGUCCCGAGGAGUGCCUAGGGCUGGCGGGAGGGCCUCCGGUUGCAGAAGACAGACUGCAGUCUGGACGCCAUGGAAGGGACCUGCCCCGUCAAAGUCUACGAGCGCCACUUCCCGUCUCAGCGACCAGAGCAAAUGGCCAGCCGAUACCCCAGGAAACCCACGUUACCGAAGUGUAUAAUCCAGGGUUUUGGUAUUAUCUGCGUCCAACGCUUCCUCCAUCUAGGGGCUAAACCACGACGCAGGAAGGUGGAUGAGCUCUUACCAACCCACGACCGCACUGACGUACAACGGCUACUCACCAUUCCAGGCCUGUUGCUGUUCACCACCGUAAUAAAUGAUAAAAUUUGCUACGACAUGUUUUGCUCUUUCAUUAAAUUGAGUAAUAACAGCACCAUGUGCAGAAAUAGCUCGUACGAAUAUUAAUUUCCGCAAU